rnacentral:lncRNA from 10 species
UGACAACAUUGGCCAUUGGAAAGGUGACAUUAUCCACCCCAUCUUGAAAUCCUAGAGCCAUUUCUACAAGGUUCAUUACUCCACUUCAUUAAGCAACAGGUCCUGCCAGCUAAAGUCUUAAAAAAAAAAAAUAGCAGUAGCAAGUGACAGUUUUAGCAACACUUCCUAACUCCAGUCUGUGACACGCCCAUGAACUUUCCACAUUAAGAGGAAGUGGUAGGGUGGAAAAUUCUAACCUUUUCGAAACUUUGGGACUCUAUAAAAAUUCCUGUGUGGGAGAAGAAGCUGGAGAAGAAAUCCUUGAUCUGUAACUUAAUAUAUGUGUAUAUUUUAUGUGUACAUAUUGGCCUGCCUACCUGCAUGUUAUAAAGCACGACAUCCUACAUGCCACAGAGAUGCAUCUCACAGAGGCUAAGACAAGGUACCAGUCCUCAAAAAGCUGACAGCAGAGGCAGAAGGAAGAAGCAAACACAAAAAACAGUAACUAAUUGUGAAGCAGGAUGAAAUAAGUGAUAACAAAGAGGCAAGAGUGACGUGUGGUGGGUUCUGACUGAUGGGAGGUUUUAUAUAGCAGCACCAAGUACCAUACAGAUUCCAGGUUCAAACGCACACACAACAGGAAGAUGAGAAAGCUUAAGACUCAAAAUGGAAUGGAUUAGAUAAUAUAAUAUAUACGAAAGUCCUGGCAGAUGGCUUCACUUAUUGUUGUAAGAAGGAGUUAGCAUUUGAUUUGAGCUCUGAAGGAUAAAAGAAUUUUAAGUGAGGAGAAGGGUGUUCCAGGCUGAGGAAACAAGGUAGAGACAGAGUUGACAGUUUGAGUCUCGGGAGUAAGGUGGGGAAUGAAGAGUUGAUGGGGUGCUAGCAAACAGUGCCUGGAGAGAGAAAACAGGAGUCUGAAAGCUAUGCUAGACAAAGCACCAAGAGCUUUGUGUAACAGGCUGCGGAGCUGGGAGGAAAUGAAGAAAAGAAAAAGGUGGUUAUUCAAUCUCCGCAUUCAGACACAUCACCACCACCUUCUCUCUGGUCCACCUGAACUGGUCAGAGAUAACCAAAGGAGGAUAAGGAAAUCAACGUGUUGCAACAACAAGGACAUCUUUGUAGCACUGCAGUGUCCUAAUUGUGACUAAUUGUGAAACAGUUCAUCACCUCUGCUCACCCAGACCCCUCUCCUAUCAGCACCACCACCUCUUCCACCAAUCCCCACAGUAUUAACUCCACUUCCACUCUGUCCGACAUCACCCCCCUCAACCCUUCUGCUCCGCCUCUUCAAUCUGGACCAGCAGCAGCCCCUACUGCCAGAACGACACCACAGCCACCCAGCAUGGCAGAGCAAGCUUGCACAGGGAAGGUAUGCUAGGAAAUGGCUGCACACUGUCCCACUAGGGAAUUCCAUCCUCUGCCAACUAAGGAAUUCCAUGGAAAAGAUUCACGUCAGUGGACAGAUCCAGAUGGUGCCUGGUACUCUGCAGGUCCUCAAUAACUUUCUGUUAAAUUGGGUCUUAAUUGUUUGUGAGUUAUUGAUUAUAAUAAGUCCAAUUUCUCAAUAAAUGGAGUUAGACAUCAAGGAGCAACUGUGGUAUUGUCAAAUGUGAGCCUAAAAGCUCAAUACUUUCUACCGCGGCCCUCACUACCAUUUUAGUAUUAUGUUCAAAAAUAAGCAUGAGAUUUCCCCAGUUAUAAAGAUAACGCAUAUACAUUAUGUAAAAUUUGGAACAUAUCCA